ensembl:lncRNA
AUGGAGGUCUUUGCCCCCACCCUGGCAGACCCGCCGACCUCUGCUCAUGGCAGCGAUCAGCCAGAGUCACUGGUGCAAACACUCUCCACCUCUCAGAUUCUGGCCAUGUUCCCCACACAACCACUAGGGGGCUCUCCAUACUCCUCCCCUCCAUACUCUCCUACCUCUGUGCCCUGGGGACAACAGGGACCUCUGGGAAACCAGUGGGCAGGUCCCUGGUCUGCCAUGCCUGGCAAUAUGUCAGCAUGGGCACCCCCAGGUGUCACAGUGCCCCCUGUUGGAAGCCUGGCUCAAUAUGUUGUGAACCCUCAGUCUGGGUUCAUGAUUGGAGCAACCACUGCAGCUGGAUUCCCUGCUGCACCCUCGUCUCCUACUGGGUACCCCACCACUCUAAACUUCUACCCCCUUACUGGAGCACCAGGGGCCCCUACAUUGGACCAGAAUCCACUGUGAUCGACUAGUCAGAUUGGAAAUACUGGAUGUGGACGUCAUUUAAGUAUGAGCAGUAUUAAUCUGCUAAAUCAGAUUAUUAAAAGAGGGUAAUAAGAAUCCAAGCAAGGAACAAAUGCAACAAUGCCAAACACAGCAAAACACAAAGUGUAGAGUCAAAGUGCUGGAUGAUUUUUUUUCUCUGCUUCUUUCUCUUUUGUUGUCCUGAGGAAAAACGGAAUACUCCGUUGGCUCACCUGCCUUGUCUAUCUAGUGGUUAAAAGUGGUAUUACACAGGGGUACUACUGAUGGCUAGCUGAUUAACACACCUGAAACUUGUAACUCUCAUUUAGAGCUUAAAAAAAUAAAAGGUUUACAACUUGUGACGUUUUAAAAUGAGAUUUAAUUGGUUUCUGCAAGUCAUUAUGGUUCUCUAAUUAGUACAAUUUAAUAAGAACAAUGUAGGUGACGUGUGUGCUUAUCUAAAUCAAGCAUAUCAGUUCUGUAAAGCCACUGAAUGUGUGAUUUGUGAUCAGGCUAAAUAAAGGGAUUUUCUCAACUUGAAAUAAAGUAUCUAACAUAUGG